UACAGAGGUCUCAAGCGUUGUUCGGAUUCAUUGGGCGUAAAGGGCGCGUAGGCGGCGGGGCAAGUCGGGGGUGAAAUCUCAGAGCUCAACUCUGAAACUGCACUCGAUACUGCUCUGCUUGAGGACUGGAGAGGAGACUGGAAUUCACGGUGUAGCAGUGAAAUGCGUAGAUAUCGUGAGGAAGACCAGUGGCGAAGGCGGGUCUCUGGACAGUUCCUGACGCUGAGGCGCGAAGGCCAGGGGAGCAAACGGG
rnacentral:rRNA from 1 species